UACGUAGGGGCAAGCGUUGUCCGGAUUUAUUGGGCGUAAAGAGCGUGUAGGCGGCCAGGUAGGUCCGCUGUGAAAACUCGAGGCUCAACCUCGAGAUGUCGGCGGAAACCAUCUGGCUAGAGUCCGGAAGAGGAGAGUGGAAUUCCUGGUGUAGCGGUGAAAUGCGCAGAUAUCAGGAAGAACACCCGUGGCGAAGGCGGCUCUCUGGGACGGUACUGACGCUGAGACGCGAAAGCGUGGGGAGCGAACAGG
rnacentral:rRNA from 1 species